AGCUCCAAUAGCGUAUAUUAAAUUGUUGCGGUUAAACGCUCGUAGUUGGAUAUUUGUGGAGGAAUACCGGUCCACCCUAGUGGUGCGCACUCGGUACAUUCUCUGCAUUUUCCUGGGGAGAGUGUUCGCACUUCAUUGUGUGGCACAUGAUCCAGAACUUUUACUUUGAGGAAAAGAGAGUGUUUCAAGCAGGCUACUGUCGUGAAUACGUUAGCAUGGAAUAACAGCACAGGACCCGUUC
rnacentral:rRNA from 1 species